rnacentral:rRNA from 1 species
AGUGAACGCUGGCGGUAGGCCUAACACAUGCAAGUCGAACGGCAGCACAGUAAGAGCUUGCUCUUACGGGUGGCGAGUGGCGGACGGGUGAGGAAUACAUCGGAAUCUACUUUUUCGUGGGGGAUAACGUAGGGAAACUUACGCUAAUACCGCAUACGACCUACGGGUGAAAGCAGGGGAUCUUCGGACCUUGCGCGAUUGAAUGAGCCGAUGUCGGAUUAGCUAGUUGGCGGGGUAAAGGCCCACCAAGGCGACGAUCCGUAGCUGGUCUGAGAGGAUGAUCGGCCACACUGGAACUGAGACACGGUCCAGACUCCUACGGGAGGCAGCAGUGGGGAAUAUGGGACAAUGGGCGCAAGCCUGAUCCAGCCAUACCGCGUGGGUGAAGAAGGCCUUCGGGUUGUAAAGCCCUUUUGUUGGGAAAGAAAAGCAGCAGGUUAAUACCCCGCUGUUCUGACGGUACCCAAAGAAUAAGCACCGGCUAACUUCGUG